rnacentral:tRNA from 1 species
GUCCCGCGUGCUGCGCGUGCCGCGCGGCGACGCGGGGCGCGUCGAGGUGUGGGGCCGCACCGUGCCGGGCCGGUUCGGGCUCGCCGCGGGCUUC